UUUGGGUUGCUGAUAAACCUGUAAUGUCAUUCAACGUCAGUGUCCAAACAACGACUAAAUCAAUUAAUCUAUUCACAUCAAAGUUGUUUGUAAGAAACUUAGGCACACAAUCGCUUGUUGUUGACAUCCUUACUCCGUGGCCAAGAUUUGUUAGCUAAGCAUUCAUAUAUUAUUCAUAGCAGAACUAACUGGCCUAUAAAAUUACACAUUUCACAUUGGCCAUCCACUUGGAAAAUUGCAGUAUGAGUAGCUA
rnacentral:lncRNA from 7 species